rnacentral:rRNA from 1 species
UACGUAGGGUGCAAGCGUUAAUCGGAAUUACUGGGCGUAAAGCGCACGUAGGCGGCUACUCAAGUCAGAGGUGAAAGCCCGGGGCUCAACCCCGGAACUGCCUUUGAAACUAGGUGGCUAGAAUCUUGGAGAGGUCAGUGGAAUCCCGAGUGUAGAGGUGAAAUUCGUAGAUAUUCGGAAGAACACCAGUGGCGAAGGCGACUGACUGGACAAGUAUUGACGCUGAGGUGCGAAAGCGUGGGGAGCAAACAGG